AGCUCUGUCAGCUCAUGCAGUAUUUUCAUAUAUUCUUCGUCAGCAAUUGCUUUGCUAAGUUGAAGGUCAGCUUUUGUUUUCUCAGCUUGUUCAAGUCUUUCCUUCCAUUUCUCCAGUUCUUGUUUAAGACUUUCCAUCUCAUCUUUGGACGUGUCAGAAGGGUCAGGGGUUGUCAAAAGAAAGCCAUUGUCUUUCAAAGAAUACAGUGAGCUUGAUAAAUCCAUUGGAACCUGCGGAAGCGGCGGGACGGCGGCGGGCCCUGCGGAGCUCCCGGCGGGACGCCUCUCCCUGCCCCCUUCCCUCCCGCGGCCGCCGGCUUCUGCUUUCGCUUUCCCUCCCGCUGGAGG
rnacentral:lncRNA from 1 species